ensembl:lncRNA
GUUUCAUCUUUGCACAGGGGCUUGCAUAACAAGUGGAUGAUCCCAGUGUGAUUGUGAAACCCUGGCAGAGCCAAGUCCUCUGGUAAACGGGGACAAUACGUGGAUUUGAUCGGAUCUGCUCCCACAAACGAACCGGAUGGCUGCACUUCAUCUGCUGCUAAUCAUUAACGGGGGUUGCUGAACGCGAUGUUAACAGCCGAUGAAGAGCCCAUCUCCGUUUAAAAAGAUGUGCUGUCAGUUAAUUAAUUAAUCAGCCUCCUCUACGUGAGAGCUUCAAAGACUAAAGAUGGUUAUACAACGAAGAAACAGUACCCAACGCACGGCCAGAAGUGAUCCAGCCCGGGCUCCCCACAGCAGCAGACACAGCAGAUUAGCCCUCAGACUAUUCAAAGCUUCAAGGCAGCCUUGUUCACACGUAAAGCUUGGUGCCGUCGCCGUGUUCUCUUGUGAAUGUAAUGAGCAGCCCUGUGAGAUGGGCUCUGCUUGACCUCAACGGGAAGGACUGCAGCGUGGUGACUAAGUAGGAAACCAAGUCUCAAUCUUUCUUUUUUCCCUGUGGGAUGGGCUCUGCUUGACCUCAACGGGAAGGACUGCAGCGUGGUGACUAAGUAGGAAACCAAGUCCCCCCCCCCGAUAAUUAUGGAGCUGACUUUUAAAAUGCAUCAACAACGUUUGUACAUAUUGUUUCUCUUCAAUUCUGUCUGAUUGUGUAUGAUUGCAUCGGUAGAUAGGGUGAUGCAACAGCGUUUUUAGAUGUGAUAAUCCACAGGUAUAAAUGAUAUAAAUGAUGUUUAACAUUCAUGAGAUUCAAAGUGCAUGAAAACACAAUUCCUUUAAGUGCAGCCUAACUCAAUUACAUCAUUUUCAAUCUAAGUGCUGUUUGGUGGGUUAUUCACUGUAAUGAAGCUCAAUGCAGCUUUUAUUCUUGGUGUUCAUGUAUUUAUUAGCCAUUGUUAUUCAUUGCACUUUACUUUCCCUUACAGAAGAGUCAUUACUUCCCCUUAUACACAUUUUCUGCUAAAUAUUGUGAGGGCAUCCUUGUUGACUAAAGCAUAAGUGCAACUGGAGUUCCACUGCAG